UGGGGAAUAUUGGACGAUGGGCGCAAGCCUGAUCCAGCCAUGCCGCGUGGGUGAUGAAGGCCCUAGGGUUGUAAAGCCCUUUCGGCGGGGAAGAUAAUGACGGUACCCGCAGAAGAAGCCCCGGCUAACUACGUGCCAGCAGCCGCGGUAAUACGUAGGGCGCAAGCGUUGUCCGGAAUUAUUGGGCGUAAAGAGCUCGUAGGCGGUUCGUCGCGUCGGCUGUGAAAUCCCGGAGCUCAACCCCGGGUCUGCAGUCGAUACGGGCGGACUUGAGUUCGGCAGGGGAGACUGGAAUUCCUGGUGUAGCGGUGAAAUGCGCAGAUAUCAGGAGGAACACCGGUGGCGAAGGCGGGUCUCUGGGCCGAUACUGACGCUGAGGAGCGAAAGCGUGGGGAGCGAACAGGAUUAGAUACC
rnacentral:rRNA from 1 species